AUAGAACCUGAGCAGAAUUGAGGCAUGCAGAAUGAGGGCUGGUUUCAGUUUUAAGAGAAGCGUAUGCCAGUGGUUUAUAAGAGCUGAUUGUUACAUUUCCGGAAACUUGGCAAGCCACUUGUUAAACUCUAAGUAGCUUGAAAUUCUCCAGGGUGAGAGUAUGUACAUCAUAGAAACGGCAAACACUACAAAACAGGACUCCUCUUCCCUCAAAAAUGCUUGCAGCAUACGACGAGGGAGUGUCCCUAAAAAGUUGAUCUUGCAAGCUGCAGCUUGAAAUCCAGGACAGUGGGUGAGUGGAGCCAAAGCUGCCUGCAGCUGUAAGAUGUAAUUUGCUUGAGAAAUGAACCUUUGCUUUUAGAAAUCACUGAGUUGUGCGGGUUGUUUGUUACCUCAGCAUAACCCUUCAAAAGCUGGCUGAUACACCAUGCCAGUGUUGCUAAGUUUUAGUGAACACCAAUGAACCCUACCUUUAUCUCUCCAGACCUUGGUUCAGGAGAUUUCUCCUAACUUGUGCCAUCACACACCUUGAACCUGAAAGGAUGCAAACUACACUCAGAGACUCAAGCCUGGGAAUCUGGGUCUUGCAAGGUUAACAGAAAGAUAUAAAACAGUAAUUCCAUUAAAAAAAAAUCACUAAGCUACUGCGUCAUUUUUAAACCUUGGCAAACACAAGGCUGUGGCUUGUGGACCUGGAUCGUUUGGGAGUGAGUGCCAGCCCUUUCAAGGGCAGGUCACAUGUUACCGGCCCUCCUUCCCACCCCAGAAGCAGGNNNNNNNNNNNNNNNNNUGGAGCGCUGUGUCUUUAAGGGGGACACGGCGGAGGUUUCCGCACAGGACAAAAUGUCUGCGAGGAUCCUGGAGGGGAUCGGCGAUCCCAGACUCCCAGCCCACCUCCCGCUUCGGGGGUGAUGGGCACUGCUCUUCAGAAUUCACAAGUCCCACUGCAGUGUUUCUACCUGAGAACUGGGCCUGGCUGGACACCACUAAGGCCCUCAGGACAUGGCCUACCAUCUAAUUUGAAGGCGCUGCCUAGAGAAUGAGGAGCGAC
rnacentral:lncRNA from 1 species